rnacentral:rRNA from 1 species
UAGGGAAUCUUCCGCAAUGGGCGAAAGCCUGACGGAGCAACGCCGCGUGAGUGAUGAAGGUCUUCGGAUCGUAAAACUCUGUUAUUAGGGAAGAACAAAUGUGUAAGUAACUAUGCACGUCUUGACGGUACCUAAUCAGAAAGCCACGGCUAACUACGUGCCAGCAGCCGCGGUAAUACGUAGGUGGCAAGCGUUAUCCGGAAUUAUUGGGCGUAAAGCGCGCGUAGGCGGCUUUUUAAGUCUGAUGUGAAAGCCCACGGCUCAACCGUGGAGGGUAAUUGGAAACUGGAAAACUUGAGUGCAGAAGAGGAAAGUGGAAUUCCAUGGGUAGCGGUGAAAUGCGCAGAGAUAUGGAGGAACACCAGUGGCGAAGGCGACUUUCUGGUCUGUAACUGACGCUGAUGUGCGAAAGCGGGGGGAUCAAACAGG